GUCUGCAUCUCCAUUUCUAGAUCAGUGCUUUCCAGACUGCGCUGUGCAUGAGAAUCGCCUGGGGAUCUUGUUAAAAUGCAGAUGCGCUUCGGCCAGGCAGGGCUGGAACCUGAGAUUCUGCAUUUCUAACAAGCUCCCGGGGGAGGCCGAUGCUGCUGCCAAGAGUCUGGAGGUGCGGGGAGUAGGCGCUGACCUUUCUCAGACCCAGGGAUUCCAGGUUCUGGGAAGGGCACAAGCUGGGGGUGAGGAGAGAGGGAGGGAAAAAAGGGUCUAAUCUCAGUUCACCUGUCACCCUGUGCUUAGGAGAGCCGCAGGGCAGUUCUCUCAUGGGACACUCAGCUGUUCCAGCUGCCCCUGAGGGAGUGGUACGCGGGGGAGUAUCUUACUCCCCUCAUAGGAUCUCAAACCUGAUGUUUGAGGAUCUUUGGGUACCAUUUCGGAUAAGCAGAGUGAGGCCAGGGAGGAGAAAGAGCUCAGCAAGAUCAGUGAGUGAGUCAACAGAACCAGGUCUGGACAUCAUGGCUCCUCACUCAUUCCUUCACACAGAGAGCAUUGAUUAAACACCUACUGUGGGGCAGCCCCUGAGCAUGGUUAAGAGCCACGGCGCUCUAGGAGUUCAUUGGCUGGUGGAGAAGAUGGAAACAGACACAAAAUGGCGGACGGUGAGGCUGGGGGUCUGGUCAGGAAACCACUGCAGAACUGAAGAGAAGAUGAUACAGCUGGAAUCGGGGCAGUGACGGGGCAAGGAGGACAGGAGGGCAGCUGUGAGAGCUGUUUAGGAGGUGUCUACUUCCUGCCUGCCAGACAGGAAACUGCUGAGGUGAGGAGUCUGGGGGCACCCCAUCCCUACCCCGGAGGAGUUCCGUCAGGUGGAAAAGAUCAUCAAAGACCAGAGGGCGGAGAGCCCGCCACACGUUGGGUAAGAGAAGGGGAAUGGGGGAUGUUUUCUGGGCAGAGUGCAGGGCCCUCCUCCUUCUCUCACCUGGAGACAGGAGCCAGAGAAGUUAGGUGUGCCCGCUCCAGGGUGUGACUUUUCAGGGAAAAGUCAGAAUUCCAGAUAAAUUCCUUGUGCCUUGUGCCACUCAAAGGCUGGCCAGACCAGCAGCAUCAGCAUCACUUGGAAGCUGUUUGGGAAUCAGAAUCUCGGGCCCUGGUGGAUCAGACUUAUAAGAUCAGAGUUCACUAUUUAACAAGCUCCCCAGGUGACUCACACACAUGUUAGUUUGGAAAGCCCUGGUCUCCUGGGCCCUCGCUGAAACGCAGCGUCCGGGACCCACCAAGACAGGAGGGUUCUGGCUCCGUGGAAGCCCUGCCUGUCCAAGGGUUUCUAGGCUCCUUUGGGUGAGCCGGCUCAUGGCUUCUUGCUUUGCGAGGCCUGGCAGAACCUCAGUGGGCCAAAAGGUGGCUCAAGAGCGGAGUUUUCUUUCCCAAGGAGGCCCCUGACUUCUGCCUCCCUGCACCUCUGCUGGCAGCUUUCUGCCCUGCACUGCCCUCUGGUGGCCAUGGGGAGCCAUGGCCAUCGUACAUUGCUCGGUUUCUACAGCAGGGACCCCAAGACCCAGCUGAUGGUGGAAAGAGGAGGACACAUCUGUCGCUGACCUCUGACAAAAGGCUUAGGGACCCCCAAGAACACAAUGGAAGCAGUUUGAAAAACACUAGGCUUUAGCAGUGGGAUGGCCAAUGGAGGCUGCCUUUGUCCCCCCGCGAGGGGUCCUGGCUCAGCCCUUUUCCCCAUCACUACCCUUUCCUGCACACCUUGUUGGAAGCUGCUCAGAGCUGGAGGGGAGAGAAGGAGCCCUGUGCAGCAAGGACAUGCAAGGAGGAGGUCGCUGGAUUGGUUCAGAGAGGCCUGCGUGGUGGCUGCAGGGCCCCAGGUAGCAGCCAGGUGGUGGGGGGCCUGCUGGUCUGUUUUGUGUCAGGACCUCAUCCUGCAGGCCGAGGUUCCAACAGGGUAGAGACAUGACUGCAUUUGCUUUGGGAGGCGGCUCGGUGGAGGAUGGACGGGGAUUGGAACAUUGGGAACUGAAAACCCAGCGAGGGGCCUGUGCCACAGUUCAGAGAGUGUUAAGGACGUCCUGUGAGCCAGGCUUGGGGGGAGAAAGGCGGAUGGCCCUCCCACAUCCCAGAGAGGACAUGUCAGCCCAGUGACGGGAGCUGACUACAGUGUGAGCUGACUGUCUGUGUGGACAAGGAAGGUCUUGAAAGACACAGGACUUGGGGAAGGUUCUUCUAGAGACGUGACCGUAGGCCUUCCCAAAGGACCGAGAGCUCAUGUUCUUGACCACGUGGGUGGAGCAGGCUGACUCCCUGCCCCGCAGGGCCUGGUUCAGCUGACCAUUCCCUGAGGCUCCAUCACCUGCCAGGUCCAUAGUAACCUGGACUCACAUGUACUCGUGGAGCUGCCCUGGAACCUCUGGUUCCCCUCCUAAGCGCGGGGUUGCUGGGCACAUGGGAUGACCUCAGCAAGGCACAGGGUCCAUAGGCUGGAUGCAGGCCCCUGCCCGCCCUGGAGCCUUCUAGGCUCCACCUUGCACCCCACUCCCUGUCAGCUCCAUCUCCCCCAGAUCCAUCACAACGUGGACCCAGGCUGCAGCUGACUCACUGAGCCUUCAGGAGCCAGGCCCCUCCCCUCACAGACCUCAGUUUCACUACCCGAGGAGGCCCAGGAGUUCGGCCUAGAAAUCACCUAGUUCUGGCAGAUGCCUUUGGGCUUUGAGAACCCGAGGUCCUGCUCCUCCAGCAGAAGGGCCCGGCUGCCUGAAUCGGUCCCACACUGCAGUCAGUGGGACAUUUGUGUCUGUUGCAGAUGCUCUUGGGGUCUCCCUACCCCCUUGGCCUGCUGGGCCCACCUUCUAGCGGCCAGCGCCUGCAAGUCUGUGCCCAAGGUUCUCUCCCCGAUUGCCCGGGAGCAGAUAGGCUGAAAAUGCUGGCCAACGAAUGCCCCGGGCAGACCUCAACUGAGGGAGUGGGUGGACAAAGGCGCCAGCUCCCUCAGCUGGGGUGACUCUGAGGCAUGUGCCUGUCCCCCAAGGCCCCCAGCCAAUUGCUCCAGUUGCUCCAGUGAUGACACACCCUUUAUGGACUGCCUGCCUUCCCCCUUUCCUUGCCAUGCUCCUGCUGGUGUUUCCUGGGCUUCCCUCUCAAAUAAACUACUUGCACUCAAAUCCUUGUCUUGGGGUCUGCUUCUGGGGGAACAUAACUCAAGACAGCAUCCAGCUGAGCCACUUUAUUUUCCUGAGCUGUGGUGCAGGAUGAACAGGGCAGGGGAGUCGGGGGCAGAUCCCUGGGCUGGGCACUGGGCAGACCCUUGCUUUGCACUUGGGACCUUGGGACGAAGGAAUCAGAGUGAAGGGCUGGAGUUCAGGGGGCCUGCGGGGUGAGACUCUAGAAACGCUGGUCCUGACAUCCCCUCUGGGGCAGGCCUCCUCCAGCAGGCUGGCCUCAGGCACCC
rnacentral:lncRNA from 1 species